CGAAAAGGGCGUUUGGUGGAUGCCUUGGCAGUAAGAGGCGAUGAAAGACGUGAUACUCUGCGAUAAGUCAUGGGGAGCUGAGAAUAAGCUUUGAUCCAUGAAUUUCUGAAUGGGGCAACCCACCUGAUACUUUGUUAUUAUUACCCUUCGGGGUGAUUAAUAAUGAGGUAAACCAGGUAUUUUUAACCUGAAUACAUAGGGUUAAAAAAGCAAACCCGGGGAACUGAAACAUCUAAGUACCCGGAGGAAAGGACAUCAAUAGAUACUCCCCUAGUAGCGGCGAGCGAACGGGGACCAGCCGAGUCCUGAGAGUGAGAAGAACAUGCUGGAAAGCAUGGCCAUAGCGGGUGACAGCCCCGUAUUCCAAGCUCGAUGGAACGUAUUAAGUAGGGCGGAACACGUGAAAUCCUGUCUGAACAUCGGAGGACCACCUUCGAAGGCUAAGUACUCCU
rnacentral:rRNA from 1 species